GACGAACGCUGGCGGCGUGCUUAACACAUGCAAGUCGAACGGAAAGGCCCUGCUUUUGUGGGGUGCUCGAGUGGCGAACGGGUGAGUAACACGUGAGUAACCUGCCCUUGACUUUGGGAUAACUUCAGGAAACUGGGGCUAAUACCGGAUAGGAGCUCCUGCUGCAUGGUGGGGGUUGGAAAGUUUCGGCGGUUGGGGAUGGACUCGCGGCUUAUCAGCUUGUUGGUGGGGUAGUGGCUUACCAAGGCUUUGACGGGUAGCCGGCCUGAGAGGGUGACCGGCCACAUUGGGACUGAGAUACGGCCCAGACUCCUACGGGAGGCAGCAGUGGGGAAUAUUGCACAAUGGGCGGAAGCCUGAUGCAGCAACGCCGCGUGCGGGAUGACGGCAUUCGGGUUGUAACCCGCUUUAGCCUGUGACGAAGCGUGAGUGACGGUAAUGGGUAAAGAAGCACCGGCUAACUACGUG
rnacentral:rRNA from 1 species